CGUAGUAAGACGGCAGCUCGCACAGUUCUGCCGUGUUUGGGUUGCAGCCACAACACAGAUUUCCACAUACUUCUACAGUACCCACGUGCCUCACAAAGUUCACCACAGAUGUCCUGCAAUGGGGCACAGGGUGAUAAGUGACUCGCCCAAGGUCAGACAAGAAGUCUGUGGCAGGGCAGGGAACUGAAUGUGAAUCUCCUGAGUUGCAGGCUAGUUCCUCAGGCUUAUUUAAACCCCAAAGAUUUGUUUCCAUGGAUGCUAAGGAGAGUGGAAGGGUUCCUACUAAGGGUUUUAUGAAGCCACUUUUGCUUAAAAGUGAACCCAAAUCUUGCACUGAGCCUACCCGAGAGAACCCAUUGAACACACACAAGUACACCAACAUAGAGCAUGCUUGGUGAGCCAAGCCCACAAAGAGGAAGGAAAUUUUCAGUUAAAGAGCCUCUGCACCUCAGGAAGCUAAUGAGCAUAACAGGCUUCUACUAUGCAAAUGUUCUUUUAUUGCAUUUCCUUUUCCAUCACGGUGAAUUACCGAGCUCUGUGUCUAAAUGUUGGAAGAGAUUUUGCUUUUGCAUAAUCACUUCCACGUGGGUGAACAAAUCCCGCCACAAGCAUCAGACUGUGGAAUUACGCAGCCCACAACGAAGAGCAGUCAGAGUGGAAAUGAGACAGCCACUGAGCCAGCUUUCAGCUGACUUUGGCCAAAUCACUGCACACACCGUGCCUCAGUUUCCCUCACCUAUAUGACUGAGUUGAUCAUCACUCACCUCCCAGGACCAUUGAAGUUGUGAACCCAGGCACUGGAAUCAUCCCCACACCCAUCCAAAAGGACUUUCAAAAUCAGAUCGGCCAUCAAGGAACAUCCCAAUAUAGAGAACUGGUUACUGGCCCUGUUGCACCAUGGAAAUGCUAUGGGCAAGGAAGCUUGUCCUGUGGACUUGGAAGCUGAAUGAAGGAAAUAAAACUAAGUCAGGAAAUUUUUUCCAUCUUUUUUGACUGUUUGAACUCUGACAAGGCUAGAGACAAACUGAAGCCAGAGAUCCUGGGUCCGUCCUGAGACACACUUUGAAUUGACAGAUCACUACAACUCUGUCACUCUUAGGAUUUAGAUGAUAACUCACUUGCGUGUGUAUGUUUGCUUGCUUUAACCUGUAAAUAACUCAUUUCUUUUUCCCAGUUAAUAAACCUUUAGAGAGUUUAUUACAGGAUUGGCUACAGGUGUUGUCUUUGAUGUAAGAUCAAGAGUACCAGCUGAUUUGGGGCAAGUGACUGGUCUCUUGGGACUGGAAGCAACCUGAACAUUUGGUGUAAGUGACCACUUAUCAGUACGCCCAGUUUGUCUGGGUGGCAAGAUGGACUGGAGAGUCUCAGAGGACUGU